UACGAAGGGGGCUAGCGUUGCUCGGAAUUACUGGGCGUAAAGCGCGUGUAGGCGGGUCUUUAAGUCCGGGGUGAAAUGCCAAGGCUCAACCUUGGAACUGCCUUUGAUACUGGAGAUCUUGAGUCCGGGAGAGGUGAGUGGAACUGCGAGUGUAGAGGUGAAAUUCGUAGAUAUUCGCAAGAACACCAGUGGCGAAGGCGGCUCACUGGCCCGGAACUGACGCUGAGACGCGAAAGCGUGGGGAGCGAACAGG
rnacentral:rRNA from 1 species